rnacentral:rRNA from 1 species
GAUGAACGCUGGCGGCGUGCUUAACACAUGCAAGUCGAACGGAAAGGCCCAAGCUUGCUUGGGUACUCGAGUGGCGAACGGGUGCGUAACACGUGGGUGAUCUGCCCUGCACUUCGGGAUAAGCCUGGGAAACUGGGUCUAAUACCGGAUAGGACCACUUCUUGGAUGUUGUGGUGGAAAGUUUUUUCGGUGUGGGAUGAGCUCGCGGCCUAUCAGCUUGUUGGUGGGGUAAUGGCCUACCAAGGCGUCGACGGGUAGCCGGCCUGAGAGGGUGUACGGCCACAUUGGGACUGAGAUACGGCCCAGACUCCUACGGGAGGCAGCAGUGGGGAAUAUUGCACAAUGGGCGCAAGCCUGAUGCAGCGACGCCGCGUGGGGGAUGACGGCCUUCGGGUUGUAAACUCCUUUCGCUAGGGACGAAGCGUUUUGUGACGGUACCUGGAGAAGAAGCACCGGCUAACUACGUG